rnacentral:rRNA from 1 species
GAUGAACGCUGGCGGCGUGCCUAAUACAUGCAAGUCGAGCGAACGGACGAGAAGCUUGCUUCUCUGAUGUUAGCGGCGGACGGGUGAGUAACACGUGGAUAACCUACCUAUAAGACUGGGAUAACUUCGGGAAACCGGAGCUAAUACCGGAUAAUAUUUUGAACCGCAUGGUUCAAAAGUGAAAGACGGUCUUGCUGUCACUUAUCGAUGGAUCCGCGCUGCAUUAGCUAGUUGGUACGGUAACGGGUUACCAAGGCAACGAUGCAUAGCCGACCUGGAAGGGGGAUAGGCCACACGAGAACUGAGACACGGUCCAGACUCCUACGGGAGGCAGCAGUAGGGAAUCGUCCGCAAUGGGCGAAAGCAUGACGGAGCAACGCCGCGUGAGUGAUGAAGGUCUUCGGAUCGUAAAACUCUGUUAUUAGGGAAGAACAUAUGUGUAAGUAACUGUGCACAUCUUGACGGUACCUAAUCAGAAAGCCACGGCUAACUACGUG